AAUGUGAUCAUGUCUGUGGCACUGUCUUUCAACUGUGCUGACUUCAAUAACAUCUAAAGACACCUUGACUUUAUUUUCAAGUUUGCUGAAUUAAAAAAAAAGGAUUUAUAGUUAUUGUUAGUGUUUUCUUAGUUAUAAAAUAAAUAUCUUUACAUUCUA